rnacentral:rRNA from 1 species
UACGUAGGGGGCUAGCGUUGUCCGGAAUCAUUGGGCGUAAAGAGCGUGUAGGCGGUCCGGUAAGUCCGCUGUGAAAGUCGGGGGCUCAACCCUCGAAUGCCGGUGGAUACUGUCGGGCUAGAGUGCGGAAGAGGCGAGUGGAAUUCCUGGUGUAGCGGUGAAAUGCGCAGAUAUCAGGAGGAACACCUAUUGCGAAGACAGCUCGCUGGGACGUAACUGACGCUGAGACGCGAAAGCGUGGGGAGCAAACAGG